UACAGAGGGGGCAAGCGUUGUUCGGAAUUACUGGGCGUAAAGAGCGCGCAGGCGGUCGUACAAGUCGCGUGUGAAAGCCCCUGGCUCAACUGGGGAGGGUCACGCGAUACUGUUCGACUCGAAGGCAGGAGAGGGAAGUGGAAUUCCCGGUGUAGUGGUGAAAUGCGUAGAUAUCGGGAGGAACACCAGUGGCGAAGGCGACUUCCUGGCCUGUUCUUGACGCUGAGGCGCGAAAGCUAGGGUAGCAAACGGG
rnacentral:rRNA from 1 species